CCUACGGGGGGAGCAGUGGGGAAUAUUGGACAAUGGGGGGAACCCUGAUCCAGCCAUGCCGCGUGUGUGAAGAAGGCCCUCGGGUUGUAAAGCACUUUCAGUGAGGAAGAACGCCUGGUGGUUAAUACCCAUCAGGAAAGACAUCACUCACAGAAGAAGCACCGGCUAACUCCGUGCCAGCAGCCGCGGUAAUACGGAGGGUGCGAGCGUUAAUCGGAAUUACUGGGCGUAAAGCGCGCGUAGGUGGCUUGAUAAGCCGGUUGUGAAAGCCCCGGGCUCAACCUGGGAACGGCAUCCGGAACUGUCAAGCUAGAGUGCAGGAGAGGAAGGUAGAAUUCCCGGUGUAGCGGUGAAAUGCGUAGAGAUCGGGAGGAAUACCAGUGGCGAAGGCGGCCUUCUGGACUGACACUGACACUGAGGUGCGAAAGCGUGGGUAGCAAACAGGAUUAGAUACCCUGGUAGUC
rnacentral:rRNA from 1 species